UCCCUAGUUUGAUUCGGGAUUGGAACGGGUCGGUCCAGGUACUAAUAAGAAAAAUAUCUGAAAAUAUUUUUGGUCGGCGAUGAUGGAAAGAUAGGAAAUUUGUGUCUGUCUCCGGAACGCCGCACUGAAGAUUGUUAGGUUUCCGACCAAUUAUUGUUAAAUCAUGUUAUAUAGGCACGUUCACUGCAAAAAUGAAUCCAUUUGAACAAUUUGAGGGCAGUAAUUCUCAUAUUCAGCCCAAAGAGCAUAGUGCUAGCCCUCAGGCUAAAGAUGGAUGGAAGAAAAUGGGAUGUGAAGAAAAGAAGGCAGCAGGUCAUGAAGAAAUGAAGAGAACGAACAAACUUCCUGCAAACAGCACAUAUGGAUUUGAGUAUUAGAUUAACUUGGAGUUUGUAUAUGAGAAAAGAACUACAUCACAGGAGGAGGAGUUGGAGUUGCUUUUUGCCAGGCUGUCUAUCUGAUCAGAAAUCUGGAGGCAGUGGUUGGUUUCAAUUAAUUUUGCAUUGUCGGUUCUAAAUUAUCAUUUCCAAAUUGUGAUUUGUGUAACAGCUUUGUUCUUGCAAUAAUUACUUUUCUUUGGAUUUCUUAAUUUAUCAUUUAAAUUUGUUGCGGAAUAUCAGGUCAUGGAUGUGUCAUACCCAAAGUAGUCUGGCCAAAAACUUGCAUAAAAAAUUAGAGAACGUUCACAUCUCUAGCAUGCUUACAUGUAAUGCUUGUGAAUACACUAUGUAGCUCACUCUAAGACAUACUCUUGCUGUUCAAUUCAUGGCUGGAUAGGUUGGCCUACUGGUACAACUCUUCAUUGUAAAUUAGUUGACUCGAGCCCCAGUAUUCAACCAACAUUUGGCUACCGUUUCUUUCAACCGCAUUGGGUCACUGCUUCAUUGGAUAGAGCACUCUAUCACAACCACUCAGAGCACUCACAAAGACAUUUUUUCAUUCUGUAAAGAUUUGAGACUGGGAGAUGGUUCAUCUCUAUUCAAUGCAUUGUGGUCCUCAAGUUACUUCAAAUUGCUGAACUCGUUGAAACUGGUAAUUUCUAGGGCAUGAACCGGGCUUAUACUUCAUAGGGCAUGAAAGCUUUUGCUGUUGAGUAAAAGGUUUGUCCUUUAUUAGGCUGUCGAUGUGAGCUAUGAUGCCCACAAAAUGAUGGCCAUUGUACAGGUGAUUUUUUCUUCCCUUGAGUUUAGUCAGAAGCACGAGACUUCUAUGGGAAGGAAUCUUCAUAUAUCUUGUAGUUCAAGAUUUUAAUAUUUCUUUUGUUGCUGUAGGUCGGGAAAGGGUUGAAUAUGUUGGCAUUUCUUUACUUUGUCUGAUUUUCCAAUGCAUUUAUACAAAAGUCUUGUGCAAGUAACAAGCAAAUGAAAAAUCAGACCAUGUUGAUUGAAUCCAUGUGUAAUGGAGAUGGAAUGUAGAAACUAUUGUUCUUUCAAAGUGAUGUAAUUUCUAUUUGGGAGCUUUUAGUUGUCAAA